rnacentral:rRNA from 1 species
UACGGAGGGUGCGAGCGUUGUCCGGAAUCACUGGGCGUAAAGGGCGCGUAGGCGGCAUGCCAAGCGUGUGGUGAAAGCCCGGGGCUCAACCCCCGGGUCGGCCGUGCGGACUGGCAUGCUCGAGCACUGUAGGGGCGGGUGGAAUUCCGGGUGUAGCGGUGGAAUGCGUAGAGAUCCGGAAGAACACCGGUGGCGAAGGCGGCCUGCUGGGCAGUAGCUGACACUGAGGCGCGACAGCGUGGGGAGCAAACAGG